GAACAGCUGUUUCCCAUUCCUACCUCAUGACUACCUGAACAAUUACAGACAUCUGCAGCCUCAGGAGCAGCUGGGACCCUUUGCAGAGCCAUGCCAGCCAUCCCAUAGGGCUGGCUGCACAAUGCAGAGCAUAGGAAGGAUGGCAGAGGUAGGCACGGUUGCUGGCAGGAUGCUGUACCUAAGAGACACAUAAAAGAGGCUGUGAAGUGCAGAAGGGAGAGACUGCAGCAGCAGCAGAUUGACGCUCUUCGUUUUAAAUUAAAUCUGGCUGAAGAUGGAAUGCGUUAGAGUGGACAGCAGUGAUAAUAGAGACAGCUCCUUUCCUGUGUCUCUGUAUAAAUUAACUACCUUUAAGUGCUGUUUGGACAACAAAGCUUCAUCAGUUUUCCUCCUAGCUCCACAUAUGCUGCAAUAAUUACAAGCAUAACUUUAUUUACUGCUGGCAGCAGAAGUAUGAAUAAAUGAUGUCUCGUUGCUGUGGUCA